rnacentral:rRNA from 1 species
UACGUAGGGUGCAAGCGUUAAUCGGAAUUACUGGGCGUAAAGCGUGCGCAGGCGGUUCCGCAAGUCAGAUGUGAAAUCCCCGGGCUUAACCUGGGAACUGCAUUUGUGACUGCAUGGCUCGAGUGUGGCAGAGGGGGAUGGAAUUCCGCGUGUAGCAGUGAAAUGCGUAGAUAUGCGGAGGAACACCGAUGGCGAAGGCAAUCCCCUGGGCCUGCACUGACGCUCAUGCACGAAAGCGUGGGGAGCAAACAGG